GGGCGCAUGGUCCAGAGGAUACGAUGCAUUUGGUAUUGCUAUAUUUCUCUAUAAAUCUUUGCAGUUGCAGUGAGUUUUCGGUUCGAAUCCGGGUGAGCCCA